rnacentral:rRNA from 1 species
AACGAACGCUGGCGGCAUGCCUAACACAUGCAAAUCGAACGAGACCUUCGGGUCUAGUGGCGCACGGGUGCGUAACGCGUGGGAACCUGCCCUUAGGUUCGGAAUAACUCCCCGAAAGGGGUGCUAAUACCGGAUAAUGUCUUCGGACCAAAGAUUUAUCGCCUUUGGAUGGGCCCGCGUUGGAUUAGCUAGUUGGUAGGGUAAAAGCCUACCAAGGCGCCGAUCCAUAGCUGGUCUGAGAGGAUGAUCAGCCACACUGGGACUGAGACACGGCCCAGACUCCUACGGGAGGCAGCAGUGGGGAAUAUUGGACAAGGGGCGAAAGCCUGAUCCAGCAAUGCCGCGUGAGUGAUGAAGGCCUUAGGGUUGUAAAGCUCUUUUACCCGGGAUGAUAAUGACAGUACCGGGAGAAUAAGCUCCGGCUAACUCCGUG